rnacentral:rRNA from 1 species
UCGGGAAUUUUGGGCAAUGGGCGAAAGCCUGACGCAGUAACGCCGCGUGGAGGAUGAAGGCCUUCGGGUUGUAAACCGCUUUUGUCAGGGAAGAAAUCUCUUGGGCUAAUACCCCAGAAGGAUGACGGUACCUGAAGAAUAAGCACCGGCUAACUACGUGCCAGCAGCCGCGGUAAUACGUAGGGACCAAGCGUUGUUCGGAUUUACUGGGCGUAAAGGGCGCGUAGGCGGCAUGACAAGUCACUUGUGAAAUCUCUGGGCUUAACCCAGAACGGCCAAGUGAUACUGUCGCGCUAGAGUGCAGAAGGGGCAAUCGGAAUUCUUGGUGUAGCGGUGAAAUGCGUAGAUAUCAAGAGGAACACCUGAGGUGAAGACGGGUUGCUGGGCUGACACUGACGCUGAGGCGCGAAAGCCAGGGGAGCAAACGGGAUUAGAUACCCUGGUAGUCCCUGAGCGGGCUGGCAAGGCG